rnacentral:lncRNA from 1 species
UUUAAAGCAAGUUUUGGAGCUUUGAGGUUCAAGAACUCAAAAUCUCCCACCUCCGAGUUUAGGACGUCUCUCUCUCUCGAUCUUCAAGAGGUAAGAGCCGAUCUUAAGCUCAUUUCAUGUUUAAAGUAAGUUUUAUGCAAGAUCUAUGGGGUAGAAUGCAUGUUUAGCUCAUAGUUAGGUUUUUGAGUUAAUGUUAUGUUU